CCUACGGGUGGCAGCAGUGAGGAAUAUUGGGCAAUGGACGAGAGUCUGAACCAGCCAAGUAGCGUGAAGGAUGACUGCCCUCUGGGUUGUAAACUUCUUGUAUAAGGGAGUAAAGUGAGGCACGUGUGCCUUUUUGUAUGUACUUUAUGACUAAGGAUCGGCUAACUCCGUGCCAGCAGCCGCGGUAAUACGGAGGAUCCGAGCGUUAUCCGGAUUUAUUGGGUUUAAAGGGAGCGUAGAUGGGUUGUUAAGUCAGUUGUGAAAGUUUGCGGCUCAACCGUAAAAUUGCAAUUGAUACUGGCAGUCUUGAGUACAGUUGAGGUAGGCGGAAUUCGUGGUGUAGCGGUGAAAUGCGUAGAUAUCACGAAGAACUCCGAUUGCGAAGGCAGCUUACUAAACUGCCACUGACAUUGAUGCUCGAAAGUGUGGGUAUCAAACAGGAUUAGAUACCCCAGUAGUC
rnacentral:rRNA from 1 species